AGUCUUCCCUAAAUGCUCACAAAAUGUGGUGACUGAGCGCUGGCGUGGCCCGCCGCUUUCCACCUGGCCUGCGGUGCAGCCUAUCUGCCUUCUCUUGCAGGACAGACCCGGGGAGGGUGGAAGGGCUAGGUCUUUGCGGCAAUUAUUGAUGCUAGGACCUGUGCGCAGGCUCUGCUUGUUUCCGGAAGGAGAGGACAGACUGCAUCCCGAAGCCCUAGGCGCUCAUGGGAAUCUCCGCUGCCGCGGGGGCUGAGGAAGUGCUGGACCGAGGAUGUGGCACCUCCCGCUCUGCUGGUUAUCAGGUUCCUCCGGGCUGAGCCCAUCCCUCUCUUAGGGUCGUGCAAUGCAUCAAGUGGAGGUGGGGGCCCACAUGCUCCAAGUGCUCAUUUCUGAGGAGUUGAAGUGAUCUGAAUGCCUACCAGGAUGUCACCAUUAAGGGACUGAGGGCAGAGAACGUCAUCCCCUGGCUGACACCACGUGCAGCUCAUGGCAGGGUCUCAGUAUUUAAGGAGUCACGGUUCAUCAGCGCAGGCCCCUCCUCUGGGUCUGGAAGACAAGUGGCAUUUUGAGGGGUCUUCAUGGUUAUGGGUGUCCAGCUCACAAGUGUCCUAAUGGCUCAGCCAUUAGGCCUAGAUGCCUCGGGAGCACUGUCUAGAGGGUCCUCACUGUGCAGUGACCCAUGGGGUCGCAGGAGUCUGGCUGGCUCCCUAAAUGCUGUGCAGGUGGGAAGGGACUGCGUGUGUGCAAUAAGCUUAUAGGAGCUAUGACAGGCACUGGGGUCCAUGUCCCCAAGGAGGACAGUGAUCUCGGGGAUGAUGCCAGGAGUUACUACAUCAGGCUGACCUCACGUGCUGAACUUCUUUUGGUUUGUCCCUUUAUCCAGUCGGUCCACUGGUGACAGACGCCAAGUGAAUGGGCCAGGUGAUGUCCGUCCCUUCACAAAUGUGAUCCCAUUGCACUGGUGGCUCAGCUCUUCCUGUCCACUCUUUCACCUGAAGGCAGUCCAGAGUCACAUGGGAGAGCCUCUCGGCUGUCACGCUGGCUUCCGUAACACCCAGACUAUGGAUUUUCCUUUCCUAACCAAGGUCUUCUGUUUGACGUUAUCUCCUGCGUCCUCCAUUCAGACCUCACAGACCUUGUGACUAGGACAUUCAGAGUCCUAGUCAGCUUGAACAGCUGUCCCCUGCAGAGAUCCCAUCCCCCACUGCUUUCCUGGAUAGAAGGCUCCUGUCACCACCCUUCAGGGUCUGAUGUAGCCCAGAGCGGCCUUGAACUCACCGAGUACCUGAGGAUGAACUUCUAAUCCUUCUGCCUCUGCUUCUGGCAUGGGAGGAAGAAGAUGGAGUUAGAGAGAAGCCAUGGGGCCACCACCAGAGUCAGACAUGCAGAGACUUUGCCGAGGAUGAGAACCUGGAUUGCUUCCAGACUGGUGUGGUUUGAUGGAACAAGAUCCCCCGAAGGUUGCCGUGAACACCCCUAAAAAUUACUACGCCCAACAUUCAGCAGGAAGCAGUAUGGAGAAAACUAUGCCCAUAUUCCCAAAUAUUGUCUACAAAUGUUUGUUUACAUUUAAAGAGGGAUGUGAUAUAGAUAUAAAUAAUUUGCAUUGGUAUGGA